CGUCUUCGCCUACGCUGCCGCCGCCUCUGGUGGCCAUCGGCCCCUCCGCCCCACCCACGGAAGUGACAGUGACUCCAUAUAUUUUGGCAGCUGAAAUGGUCGAGAAGUUUGAGUCAGGGACUAGAGAUUUGGGCAGCCACUACAGCAGAUCAAUGUCUAAUGAGGAUGCAGCAACUGCCUCACAGAGAAGGCCCAAACUUAUGCUAACAAGGCCAAAGGAACCUGAGUUUCAGACUAACCAUAGGGUCCGAGCAGUCAGAAUGAAAAGCUCUUCAGAACUAGAGGAGG